GGGGGAAUAGCUCAGUGGUAGAGUGUGUGCUUAGCAUGCACAAGGUCCUGGGUUCAAGCCCGUUAUCUCCA
rnacentral:tRNA from 1 species